AGAGGAAGGUCCCCCACACUGGUACUGAGACACGGACCAGACUCCUACGGGAGGCAGCAGUGAGGAAUAUUGGUCAAUGGCCGCAGGGCUGAACCAGCCAAGUCGCGUGAGGGAUGACGGUCCUAUGGAUUGUAAACCUCUUUUGUCAGGGAGCAAAGGACGCCACGUGUGGCGUUUUGCGAGUACCUGAAGAAAAAGCAUCGGCUAACUCCGUGCCAGCAGCCGCGGUAAUACGGAAGAUGCGAGCGUUAUCCGGAUUUAUUGGGUUUAAAGGGUGCGCAGGCGGAAUGUCAAGUCAGCGGUAAAAUUUCGGGGCUCAACCCCGUCGUGCCGUUGAAACUGGCGUUCUUGAGUGAGCGAGAAGUAUGCGGAAUGCGUGGUGUAGCGGUGAAAUGCAUAGAUAUCACGCAGAACUCCGAUUGCGAAGGCAGCAUACCGGCGCUCAACUGACGCUCAUGCACGAAAGCGUGGGUAUCGAACAGGAUUAGAUACCCUGGUAGUCCACGCAGUAAACGAUGAAUACUAACUGUCCGGGCCGAUUGAGGUCUGG
rnacentral:rRNA from 1 species